GAUGAACGCUAGCUACAGGCUUAACACAUGCAGGUCGAGGGGCAGCAUGGUCUUAGCUUGCUAAGGCCGAUGGCGACCGGCGCACGGGUGAGUAACACGUAUCCAACCUGCCGUCUACUCUUGGACAGCCUUCUGAAAGGAAGAUUAAUACAAGAUGGCAUCAUGAGUCCGCAUGUUCACAUGAUUAAAGGUAUUCCGGUAGACGAUGGGGAUGCGUUCCAUUAGAUAGUAGGCGGGGUAACGGCCCACCUAGUCUUCGAUGGAUAGGGGUUCUGAGAGGAAGGUCCCCCACAUUGGAACUGAGACACGGUCCAAACUCCUACGGGAGGCAGCAGUGAGGAAUAUGGGUCAAUGGGCGCAGGCCUGAACCAGCCAAGUAGCGUGAAGGAUGACUGCCCUAUGGGUUGUAAACUUCUUUUAUAAAGGAAUAAAGUCGGGUAUGUAUACCCGUUUGCAUGUACUUUAUGAAUAAGGAUCGGCUAACUCCGUG
rnacentral:rRNA from 1 species